rnacentral:rRNA from 1 species
GAUGAACGCUGGCGGCGUGCCUAAUACAUGCAAGUCGAGCGAACGGACGAGAAGCUUGCUUCUCUGAUGUUAGCGGCGGACGGGUGAGUAACACGUGGAUAACCUACCUAUAAGACUGGGAUAACUUCGGGAAACCGGAGCUAAUACCGGAUAAUAUUUUGAACCGCAUGGUUCAAAAGUGAAAGACGGUCUUGCUGUCACUUAUAGAUGGAUCCGCGCUGCAUUAGCUAGUUGGUAAGGUAACGGCUUACCAAGGCAACGAUGCAUAGCCGACCUGAGAGGGUGAUCGGCCACACUGGAACUGAGACACGGUCCAGACUCCUACGGGAGGCAGCAGUAGGGAAUCUUCCGCAAUGGGCGAAAGCCUGACGGAGCAACGCCGCGGGAGUGAUGAAGGUCUUCGGAUCGUAAAACUCUGUUAUUAGGGAAGAACAUAUGUGUAAGUAACUGUGCACAUCUUGACAGUACCUAAUCAGAAAGCCACGGCUAACUACGUG